rnacentral:rRNA from 1 species
GACAGAGGUUGCAAACGUUGUUCGGAAUUACUGGGCGUAAAGCGUGCGCAGGCGGUUUUGUAAGCCAGAUGUGAAAUCCCCGGGCUUAACCUGGGAAUGGCAUUUGGGACUGCAAGGCUGGAGUGCGGCAGAGGAGACUGGAAUUCCUGGUGUAGCAGUGAAAUGCGUAGAUAUCAGGAGGAACACCGAUGGCGAAGGCAGGUCUCUGGGCUGACACUGACGCUCAUGCACGAAAGCGUGGGGAGCAAACAGG